rnacentral:rRNA from 1 species
AUGGGCUGCCAAAGAUGCAAGCGGAGGGAUGAGCUCGACUACUGCAAUCUGGAUGACCGGGAGAAGCAUUUCCUGAUGUUUAUGGUGGAUGGCUGUGGUCGUGAGAUGACCAUCCCAGAUGAUUUUCUGAAACGAUUCAGGGGUGAGAUCCCAAAAGAGAUCAAGCUAGAAACACGAAAUGGUCAUAUUUACACUGUUGGAGUUGCCAAGUAUCCAGAUAAACUAGUCCUUAGAGCAGGAUGGGAGACCUUCGUCGAAACCUAUGAUCUACGGAUCGACGACUCUGUGGUAUUUCGAUACAAUGGAAAUUCGCAGUUCAAUGUCAUAGUGUUUGAUCAAUUUGGCCGUGAGAAAGCAUCGUCCGUUGUUGUAGACAGUGCUCCUCUGUAUCCUUAUGUGCAGGAAAGGCAAAGAGGUGCUCCUGAAACUCAUGGUCAUUCUCAGCCCCAUGAAAUGCAAUCUCCUACUGAAAAUAUGAAUAUUUCUCAAGGGCAUCCUCAGCUCAUGCGUGUGCAGCCGCAUACUGAUAACAUGAGCCGUUCUCAAGGGCAUGCUCAUCAUGUGCAAAUGCAACUGCCUAUUGACAAUAUGAGACGUUCUGAAGGGCAUCCUCAGCCCAUACAAAUGCAACCGCCUAGUGCAAAUGUGGACCAUUUUGUUGAUGAUAGUCAGCACAUGCAAAUGCAGCCACCUAGUGCAAAUGUGGACCAUUUUGUUGAUCAUAGUCAGCACAUGCAAAUGCAGCCACCUACUGAGACUCUGAAUCGUUCUAAUUGCCAUCCUCAGUCCCGGCAAAUGCAGCUGACAUGUGCUGAGAGACAGUCAAAUCUUCAGAGGAAUAAAUUAAAUCAGGGCAACAAGAGCGUGGCGAGUUCUUCAGGUGGUUCUUUGUGCUCAGAAGAUGGUACUAAUUUAUGUGAUACAUCUAGAUACACGCUUGGGUGGAACACCCGUCUAGAUCCAGUGCAGAAGGAGAAAGUUGACCAGGAGAUCCAACAUAUCUCAUCUGACAAUCCAAUCUUUGUGGCCAUGAUGAGCAAGUGCAAUGUUACAGGAACUUUCACCCUAAGUGUGCCCAAAGAAUAUGUCAAGCGACAUGUGGGAGAUACGGAGCGCAACAUAUGUCUUCAGCGCCUUGGCAAGGGGUGGGAAGUGCAGUUUGGUGGUAGGCCUGAAGAGAAAAGGAUUAUAUCUGGCUGGCGGAGGUUUGUAAAGGACAAUGAUGUUGAGAUGGGUGAUAUCUGCAUUUUUGAAUUGUUGAAGAAAUGUAAGAUGUGCACGAUGGAAGUCCAUAUCAUCCAUACAAAGGAUAUUGAUACGCCUUCCAAAAUUUGUCAGCAAAGGCACAGAGAGGUUGUUAAAAUUAUGGAACAUUCUCAUUCUCUCCCCCAGCUUAAGGAAAUGCAACUGCAUAAUGAAACAGUGGAAGAUACUAUCGUUCAUCCCGAGCCUGUGCAAAUACAACUACCUUCGUUGGAAAGACGGAUACAACUUCAAAGGGACAAGUCUAGUCAGGGCAGCAAGAGAGAUUCCUUGUCAUCGGAAGAUAUUGAUCAUGAAGAAGGUGCUUUGUCUGAUUGCAUCCUUGCACGUUUUACGCGCCUUACUACAGAUCAGAAGAAGGCAGUGAAAGAGAAGGUUCAAUUUAUUGAUUCUGAAACUCCCAUCUUUGUUGCCAUGAUGCAACAAACCAAUGUUACUGGAAGAUACACUCUAAGCAUCUCUAAGAAAUAUAUCAACAAGUAUUUGGGAGAUGAGGUGCAGAGCAUCUGUCUUGAGCGACUUGGCGAGAGGUGUCAAGUGUGGUUUGGACGCAAGCCUCAGGAUAAAAGGAUUGUAGGCGGAUGGACAAAGUUUGUGAAAGCCAAUGAGGUGGAGGUGGGUGAUAUCUGCCUCUUCGAGCUGCUGAAGCAUCGGAAAUUGUGCGCCAUGAAAGUUCAUAUCAUCCGCGCGAAGGACUUCAGUUGA